AUGCACGCUGGCGGCGUGCCUAAUACAUGCAAGUCGCGCGAACGGACGAGAAGCUUGCUUCUCUGAUGUUAGCGGCGGACGGGUGAGUAACACGUGGAUAACCUACCUAUAAGACUGGGAUAACUUCGGGAAACCGGAGCUAAUACCGGAUAAUAUUUUGAACCGCAUGGUUCAAAAGUGAAAGACGGUCUUGCUGUCACUUAUAGAUGGAUCCGCGCUGCAUUAGCUAGUUGGUAAGGUAACGGCUUACCAAGGCAACGAUGCAUAGCCGACCUGAGAGGGUGAUCGGCCACACUGGAACUGAGACACGGUCCAGACUCCUACGGGAGGCAGCAGUAGGGAAUCUUCCGCAAUGGGCGAAAGCCUGACGGAGCAACGCCGCGUGAGUGAUAAAGGUCUUCGGAUCGUAAAACUCUGUUAUUAGGGAAGAACAUAUGUGUAAGUAACUGUGCACAUCUUGACGGUACCUAAUCAGAAAGCCACGGCUAACUACGUG
rnacentral:rRNA from 1 species